rnacentral:rRNA from 1 species
UACCACCGCCCGUNCGCUGUNCCGGGNACUGCANCUGUUUCGAGNAAGAAGUGGAGACUGCUGUAUUGGGGCUUUCGGGCUCUGGUAUGAUGGAAACCAUUUUAAUCGCAAUGGCUUGAACCGGGCAAAAGUCGUAACAAGGUAUCUGUAGGUGAACCUGCAGAUGGAUCAUCGCCGAAACCUUAUGGGUAAUGCUUUGAUCACGAGAGAUCGGUACCAAUGGAAUCAGACUUGUUCUUGAUUUCAAUCGGUUUCUCACCCCAUCUAAGCUCAUGGAGAGGUGUCUAGUCCCAAUUGGAGUCGCUUUGAGUGACGGCUAUGAAAAUUGGGUAUGUUCCCCGUGAGGGUCGAGCAUAGACUUUAUGAACAGUGCUGGAGCUGUCGCCUCACCAAAAAAUCAUCGAUAACUGGUGGCUAUGUGUGACAUUAGUCACAUAGGUAUCUGCNUGAUGCAGAGAGCCUUAAUGAGUUGUUCGUGUCAUCUGACCUACAACCGCCAGUAUCGGUAAAUCAACCCAAUUAACUUGUUUCUUGUGUCGUGUUAAUACAUACUGGCAAAGUGUAUUAGCUUUAGCGAUGGAUCGGUUGAUUCGCGUAUCGAUGAAAAACGCAGCAAGCUGCGUUAUUUACCACGAAUUGCAGACGCUUAGANGUGGUGAAGUUUUGAACGCACAGCGCCGUUGGGUUUUCCCUUCGGCACGUCUGGCUCAGGGUUGUUUAAUAAGCGAAAGUGUUGAAAGUUCAUUAAAUGAGAGUUCGGUGAUACUGACAACACUACGUCGAGCGGUGUACUGUUGAAAGUACCCCGUUCAAGUAUCUUUAUGGGGCAACAUGUCUUCUAUACGGAGACAUGAAAGAUAUUAAGAGUAUAUACCUGUGGAUGCCCACGUAUGAAAUAUGACGUGUCGUAUACACGGCUAGGAGGUAUGUCUCAGAUGAGUUUGUUAAUGCAACCUGAGCUCAGUCGUGAUUACCCGCCGAACUUAAGCAUAUCAUUCAGCGGNGAAAAGAAACUAACUAGGUC